UACAGAGGUCCCAAGCGUUGUUCGGAUUCACUGGGCGUAAAGGGCGCGUAGGCGGUUGGGUAAGUCUGAUGUGAAAUCUCACAGCUUAACUGUGAAACUGCAUUGGAUACUAUCCGGCUUGAGGAAUGGAGGGGAGACUGGAAUACUCGGUGUAGCAGUGAAAUGCGUAGAUAUCAAGUGGAACACCAGUGGCGAAGGCGGGUCUCUGGGCCGAUACUGACGCUGAGGAGCGAAAGCGUGGGGAGCGAACAGG
rnacentral:rRNA from 1 species